AGUGAACGCUGGCGGCAGGCCUAAUACAUGCAAGUCGAACGGCAGCACGGCAGAGCUUGCUCUGUGGGUGGCGAGUGGCGGACGGGUGAGGAAUACAUGGGAAUUUGCCCAGUCGUGGGGGAUAACGUAGGGAAACUUACGCUAAUACCGCAUGCGCCCUUCGGGGGAAAGCCGGGGACCUUCGGGCCUGGCGCGAUUGGAUGAGCCCAUGUCGGAUUAGCUAGUUGGCGGGGUAAUGGCCCACCAAGGCGACGAUCCGUAGCUGGUCUGAGAGGAUGAUCAGCCACACUGGAACUGAGACACGGUCCAGACUCCUACGGGAGGCAGCAGUAGGGAAUAUUGGACAAUGGGCGCAAGCCUGAUCCAGCCAUGCCGCGUGAGUGAAGAAGGCCCUCGGGUUGUAAAGCUCUUUUGUCCGGAAAGAAAAGCGCCGGGUUAAUACCCUGGUGUCCUGACGGUACCGGAAGAAUAAGCACCGGCUAACUUCGUGCCAGCAGCCG
rnacentral:rRNA from 1 species